ACGAACGCUGGCGGCGCGCCUAACCCCUUCAAGUCGGACGAGCGAGAGAGAGCUUGCUUUCUUGAGCGAGUGGCGAACGGGUGAGUAACGCGUGAGGAACCUGCCUCAAAGAGGGGGACAACAGUUGGAAACGACUGCUAAUACCGCAUAAGCCCACGACCCGGCAUCGGGUUGAGGGAAAAGGAGCAAUCCGCUUUGAGAUGGCCUCGCGUCCGAUUAGCUAGUUGGUGAGGUAACGGCCCACCAAGGCGACGAUCGGUAGCCGGACUGAGAGGUUGAACGGCCACACUGGGACUGAGACACGGCCCAGACUCCUACGGGAGGCAGCAGUGGGGAAUAUUGCACAAUGGGGGAAACCCAGAUGCAGCGACGCCGCGUGGAGGAAGAAGGUCUUCGGAUUGUAAACUCCUGUUGUCGAGGAAGAUAAUGACGGUACUCAACAAGGAAGAGACGGCUAACUACGUG
rnacentral:rRNA from 1 species